GACAGAGGGGGCAAGCGUUGCUCGGAAUUACUGGGCGUAAAGGGCGCGUAGGCGGGAUGGCAAGUCGGUCGUGAAAUCCCUCGGCUCAACCGAGGAACGUCGAUCGAUACUGCUGUUCUUGAGGAUUGCAGAGGAGACUGGAAUUCCCGGUGUAGCGGUGAAAUGUGUAGAGAUCGGGAGGAACACCGGUGGCGAAGGCGGGUCUCUGGGCAAUUCCUGACGCUGAGGCGCGAAAGCGUGGGGAGCGAACAGG
rnacentral:rRNA from 1 species